rnacentral:rRNA from 1 species
AUUGAACGCUGGCGGGAGGCCUAACACAUGCAAGUCGAGCGAGCGGCGGACGGGUGAGUAAUGUCAGGGAAACUGCUUGAUGGAGGGGGAUAACUACUAGAAACGGUAGUUAAUACUGCAUACCAUCAGAUGUGCCCAGAUGGGAUUAGCUAGUAGGUGGGGUAACGGCUCACCUAGGCGACGAUCCCUAGCUGGUCUGAGAGGACGACCAGCCACCCUGGAACUGAGACACGGUCCAGACUCCUACGGGAGGCAGCAGUGGGGAAUAUUGGACAAUGGGGGCAAGCCUGAUGCAGCCAUGCCGCGUGUGUGAAGAAGGCCUUCGGGUUGUAAAGCACUUUCAGCGGGGAGGCGUUACCCGCAGAAGAAGCACCGGCUAACUCCGUGCCAGCAGCCGCGGUAAUUC